rnacentral:rRNA from 1 species
UACGUAGGGUCCGAGCGUUGUCCGGAUUUAUUGGGCGUAAAGCGCUCGCAGGUGGUUCAUUGCGUCGUGCGUGAAAGACCCCGGCUCAACUGGGGAGGGUCGUGCGAAACGGGUGAACUAGAGGCCAGUAGGGGGAUGCGGAAUUCCGGGUGUAGUGGUGAAAUGCGUAGAGAUCGGCAGGAACACCCAGGGGGAAACCAGCCGACUGGGCAAGUGCUGACGCUGAGGUGCGAGAGCGUGGGGAGCGAACCGG